rnacentral:lncRNA from 1 species
UGUACAGCUGUCACCCCAUCAAUGCUAGGGGACCCCUCAGCCUCACUCCUGGGCUGCAGCUCCUGUUUCCUGAACCCCACGUCUUCCUCUGCAUCGUGUACUGCCUGGUUUUGGUGGAGUAAAGACCCUUGGGAGGUAGAUUUUUUUUGAAAUCUUGCAUCUCUGAAAAUGCUUCUUUUUUUGCUCCUCUUACCUGAUAGUUUAAUUUUUCAAGUUCAAAUCUCAAACUAUCUUCAUUAGAUAAUCUGAGAACACUUCCACUACAAAACACCUAAAAAUGCUGGAUACAGGCUGGGUGCGGUGGCUCAC